ACACUAGAGCAGGAAGUGGAAGGAAAAACAUCACUGAAGCCAAUGUGAUCAGUGCAAUAUUAAUCCCAGGGAAGCUUUAGGAGCACGGGUACUACUUACUGUGGACGACGGUUGGUCAAGGAAGGCUUUCUGGAGGAGGUGACAGCUAGGCUGGGUCUUAAGGAUGAAUGGGAAGAGAGAGGAGAACAUGUGGAUAAGGCCAGGCAAAAGGGCUGCACAGCCAAGUCACAGCCAAGACGAAAUGCAGGGAGAGUUCUGGAAGCUGCGUGUUUCAUGCUGCUGGGUAGUGUGGAAGGACAGGCUGGAGCUAGGCAGCUAAGCAGCUUGGCAAAUGGAGCUACUGAGGAUUCCAAACAGGACCUCUGCAGUCGUCUCCACUGCUUAUGGGUUGAACCACGUGAAAUAGACAAUAUUCGGCCAUUUAGGGCCAAGACAAAUGCCAGCUUUGCGGGGUGCAGCCUCACAGAGAGGCUGCUUGGGGGCCUUUGCAGAGGGUGGAUGAGCAGAGGGCAUCCUCCGGAACCUGCUUGGGGACCCGGCUCUGAGGCCAUCGGGCCGGUGGUGUCCAGAUUCUCAUGUAGGCUGGGAGAAAGGGGAGGUUCAAGAAACACGGAGGAAGUGAAGCGUCAGAGCCGGGGGGACGGGGUGCCGCAGAGGAGAAGGAGCACUGAGGCUGAGGUCCAGGCUUGCAGACACGUGGACCAUGAGUAUUCUGCCAGGUCUGUGGGUGUCUCUUCUGAGCUACACCAGUUUCCAGGUUACCUGGGACCAUGGAUAACUCUCAGAUCAGCAACUUGUCAGUUGAUUUCCAAGCUGCUGUUGGCUGGACUCAGACUCAGCAGGGAGCACCUGGGCGAGCCCUGUGCUGCGGGCUGGACUCCGGCCCAUCUCGCUGAUUACUCUUGCUUUUGCUCCCCAGUGUGUCCUCAAGAGCGCCCAUGUAAGGACACAUCUGAGUUGGCAUUCUGUGUCUGCUCUUGAGCUACUCGCAUGAUAAGUCUUUGUUGUCCUGUGGGAUGUCACCGGUUCAUGCUGAAGAGAAAUUGUAAAGGACUCCUUUGCCUGCUCAGGCCCCAUGGCCUCUGUCAUGUUUUGUCCCCGUCCCUUUGGGAGCACAGCAGCAGUGGGCUGGCUGGACUGUGCAGGCGAGGUUCAAGGAUGAGGUACAGUUGUGUGAAAGGUGAGCCUGCUGGACCGGGGAGCUUUCCUCAAGGCCUCCGCCUGGCUAUGAUGGCGUUAGGGUUGAGGGGAAGCUUCAUCCAAAAUGCACAGUACUUGGAUGUCAAGAUGAUGUUGCUGCUCUCAGGAUGAGUCACUCUCCACCACUGACUUCCUUUGAUGUUCUGAGCUCAGCCUGGAGUCUGACCUGGGACUAUAGCACUUGUUCUCCCAAGGUAAGGCUGGCGGCCAAACCCAGCUGCGCACACCUGAACCUGCUCCUUGGCAGAGAUGAAGGGCGUCAUGUUUCGUAGCCACUCAACACCCAUGGACAAUUUGGCUCCUUGUAAAGACUUAGUCAUGCCUUUGAACUGACUUACUUGAAAUAUAAUUGCUCCUAUUUUGCUCCAAAGACCAGUGGCAUGAUGGGUUAGAGUUAUUUGUAUUUAUUGAGAUUGUUGUAAUUAGCAAUCUCAGGGCUCAGUCUAACUGCAUUAUCCAUGCUGGAAAACUUAAAAAAAAAAUACAGUCCUUCAUCUUCAGUUUUCCAAUGGUCGCCAGUUAUACACAGCUAAUCUUUGCAGUGAAAGUUGUCUUUGGAGAAUGUGCUUUCUUGGUCCCGGGUGGUCCUGGUCUUGGGCUGGAAUCUACGUGAGCUGCUUUGAAGUAAGCUGACAAUACACAAUUAUUAAGGCUAUUUUGACCUGCAAGUAUGGUUUCUUAAAAAGGAACAAUUAAAUACCAUGUAGCAGUUAUUUAGACUUUAGCAUUGACUAAGGAAAGGAGAAAAUGGAAGAAGAACCCCCUCCUGCUUAGAUGCAGUCAUUUUUUAAAAAAAUAAUCUUUUGGGGAAUAAACUUAACCAAGGAGGUGAGGGACUUGUAAACAAAAUGUUAAAACUGCACUGAAGACUAGAAAAUGUUGAUGAAAGCUGUUAAAGAAGACACAAUUAGAUGAUGAAAACACAUCCCAUGUUCAUGGAUUGAAAGACAAUAUUGUUAAGAUGUCAAUACUAUAGAUUCUAUGCAAUCCCUGUCAAAACCCAAUUUUUUUUCAAACAUAGGAAAAUCCAUUCUAAAAUUUACAUGGACUCUCAAGGAACCCUGAGUAGACAAAACAAUCUUGUAAAAGAACAAUGUUGGAGGGCUCACACUUUCUGGUUUCAAAACUACAGUAAUUAAAAAGCUACAGUAAUUAAAACAGCAUGAUAUUGUCACAAAGAUAUAGAAAAAUAGAAUAGAAUAUAAAUCUUGGAAAUAAAUCUUCACAUAUAUAGUCAAAUGAUCUUUGGUGAGGGUGCCAAGACCACUUAAUGGGGAAAGGACAGCCUCUUCAACAAAUGAUUUUGGAAAAAUUAGAUAUUUAUAUGCAAAAGAACGAAGUUGGACCCUAACUUUACACUAUAUACAAAAAUCUACUAAAACUGGAUUAAAGAACUAGCUAUAAUACCAAAAAGUAUAAAAUUUCUAGAAGGAAACAUAGGGGAAAACUUCAUGCAUUGAUUUGGCAUGAUUUUUUGCAUAUGGCAUUAAAAGCACAGGUGACAAAAGCAAAAAUAGAGAAUUGGGACUACAUCAUACUUAAAAACUUCUGUGUAUCAAAGUACACAGUCAACACAGUAAAAAGGCAACCUGCCAGAAUGAGAGAAAAUAUUUGCAAAUUAUGUAUCUGGUGAGGGGUUAAUAUCCAGAAUAUAUAAAGAACAUUUAAAUCUCAGCUACAACAACAAAAUAAGUAACUCAAUUUAAAAGUGGGCAAAGGCCUUGAAUAGACAUUUCUUCAAAGAGGAUAUACAAAUGGCCAAAUAAGCACAUGAAAAGAUGCUCAAUAUCACUAACAUUAGAUAAAUGAAAAUCAAAACCACAAUGAAAUAUCGCCUGACAUCCAUUAGGAUGGCUACAAUAAGAAAAACAAAGUGUCGACAAGGGUGUAGAGAAAUCGAAAACUUAAUGUAAAGUUGGUGAGAAUGUAAAAUGGUGUGGCCACUAUGUAAACCAGUAUGGUCAUUCCUCAAAAAAUUAAAGAUAGAACUAUCAUAGGAUCCAGCAGUGCCACUUCUGGUUACAUACCCAAAGGAAAUAAAAGUAGGAUCUCAAAUAGUGAUUUUUAUACCCACGUUAAUAACAACAGUAUACAAUAGCCAUGUGGUGGAAACGACUCAGACAUCUAUUCUCUUUUUAAAAAAAUUAUUUACUUUUUACUGACACCUAUUAGAUGUACUUAUUUUCAGGGUACAUGUGAUAAUUUGAUACACUCACAUAAUCAAAUUGGGGUAAUGGGGAUAUCCAUUACCUUAAAUAUUUAUCUUUUCUUUAUGCUAAGAACAAUUGCAUUAUUCUCUCCUAGCUAUUUCAAAACAACCGAUUAAUGUUAACUAUAAUCACCCUACUGAUCUAUCAAACACCAUGUCUGAUUUCUUCUAUGUGUAGGUUUAUACCCUUAAUCAGCCUUUGUUUUUCUCCACCCACCUCCCCUACCCUUCCCAGCCUCCAGUAACCACCAACCCAGUCUCUAUCUUCAUGAGGUUCUCUUUUUUAGCCCCUGUGUAUGAGUGAGAACAUGUGAUAUUUGUCUUUCUGUGCUUGGCUUAUUUCACUUAACAUCAUGUUGCUGCAAAUGACAGGAUUUCAUUCUUUUUUAUGGCUGAAUAAUAUUCCAUUGUGUAUUUAUACCUCAUUUUCUUUAUCCAUUCAUCCACAGAUGGACACUUAGGUUGAUCCCAUAUUUUGACUAUUGUGAAUAGUGCUGCAAUAAGCAUGGGAGUGCAGAUUUAAAUAUAUACCCAACAGAGGGAUUGCUGGAUCAUAUGGUGGUUCUACGUUUAGUUUUUUGAGGAACCUCCAUAGUGUUCUCUACCAUGGCUGUGAAAAUUCACAUUCCUGCCAAUGGUGAACAAGGGUUUCCCCUUUCUCCACAUUCUCACCAGCAUCUGUUAUUGGCUGUCUUUUGGAGAAAAAACAUUCUGACUGAGGUGAAGUGAUACUUCACUCUGGUUUUGACUUACAUUUCUCUGAUGAUUAGUGAUGUUGAACAUUUUUUUCCUAUACCUGUUUACCAUGUGUAUGUAUUCUGUCAAGAAAUGUCUGUUCAGAUCUUUUGGCCAUUUUAAAAUCAGAUUAUUUGUUUUUUUGCUAUUUGAGCUCCUUAUAUAUUUUGCUUAUUAAUCCCUUGUCAGAUAAAGAAUUUGCAAAUAUUUUCUGCUAUUCUGUAGGUUGUAUCUUCAUCUUCACUUUGUUGAUUGUUUUGUUUACUGUGUAGAAACUUUUUUUUUUUUUUUUUUUUUUUGAUGGGGGAGACAGUCUUAUGGUGUUGCCCUGGCUGGUCUUGAACUCAUGGCCUCAAGUGAUCCUCCUACCUUGGCCUCCUAAAGCUCUGGGAUUACAGGCAUGAGCCACCAUGCCUGGCCUUGCGCAGAACCUUUUCAUCUUUCGAACUCAUUCUACAAGGCUAGCAUUACCAUGAUACCCAAACCAGAUAAGGAUACAACAACAAAAAAGAAAACUACAGGCCAAGAUCACUGAUGAACAUAGAUGCACAAAUCCUCAACAAAAUACUAGCCAACUGAAUUAAACAGCACAUCAAAAAGAUCAUUCACCAUGAUCAAGUGGGUUUCACCCCAGGGUGCAAGGUUGAUUCUACAUAUGCAAACCAAUAAGUAUUGAAAUGAUCACAUGAUUUUUGUUCUCAGUUCUAUUAAUGUUCUUGAUUCUGUUAAUGUUCUGUUCACAUUGCAGAAAAAGCAUUUGACAAAAUAAUUUCAGUAGCUGCUGAAAAAGCAUUUGAUAAAAUUCAGCAUACCUUUAUGAUACAAAAAACCUUCAAUAAACUGGGUAUAAAAGAAACAUA
rnacentral:lncRNA from 1 species